ACUUUCACGCGGAUCAAGUAAUGUUUCCUUUAGAUCUCGUAUACGAUGAGUGUUGAGGCUUGAAUAUGGGCAUGCAACCUGUUUGCUUGACUUUGAUUCAAACCCAGAUUUCAAAAUCAGCUCAACCCACAUAUUUGAGGCCGAUUCCAGCUUGGUUUUCGUGUGUUUUAAGCUGUCAUUUCUAUCUAAUCUUAUUCUUUGCAUGUGGUAGUUUAACCUUGAUGUUUUAGUUCCACAUAAUAUUGCUCAUGUGUUGAGAUUGAAGGCCGCAAACAUGGCCCGAGGAAGUUGGUUUUGGGUGAUUUGAUGCACGCCAAGUGUUUAACGAAAUGUGCAAACCAAGUUUCGAUCUUGAAACGGUCGAUUUGAGCCCGGUUAUUGUGAUAUUCAUGUGCUGUGUUGUUCAAUGUUAGCAUAUAUCGGUUUAGG
rnacentral:lncRNA from 1 species